rnacentral:rRNA from 1 species
GAUGAACGCUGGCGGCGUGCCUAAUACAUGCAAGUCGAGCGAACGGACGAGAAGCUUGCUUCUCUGAUGUUAGCGGCGGACGGGUGAGUAACACGUGGAUAACCUACCUAUAAGACUGGGAUAACUUCGGGAAACCGGAGCUAAUACCGGAUAAUAUUUUGAACCGCAUGGUUCAAAAGUGAAAGACGGUCUUGCUGUCACUUAUAGAUGGAUCCGCGCUGCAUUAGCUAGUUGGUAAGGUAACGGCUUACCAAGGCAACGAUGCAUAGCCGACCUGAGAGGGUGAUCGGCCACACUGGAACUGAGACACGGUCCAGACUCCUACGGGAGGCAGCAGUAGGGAAUCUUCCGCGAUGGGCGAAAGCCUGACGGAGCAACGCCGCGUGAGUGAUGAAGGUCUUCUGAUCGUAAAGCUCUGUUAUUAGGGAAGAACAUAUGUGUAAGUAACUGUGCACAUCUUGACGGUACCUAAUCAGAAAGCCACGGCUAACUACGUG